rnacentral:sRNA from 1 species
AAAACCAAGAACAACAACAAC